UGACCUAUAUCGAGAAAACAAUCACAAAAAUAUGCGCUGAAAUAAAAAAGGAUUUCAUUCCUCAAUGUGGAAUGCAUUACCAUUGAUGAUAUAGCAAAAUUAAAUACAACUCUUUUAGUCAAUUGGUUCUUAAUCACACUUUGAAAUCCACCUAGUGCGAACAUAUCGUACAAAAAUGACUUAUCGAAACAAGAUAAAUUAGUUUAGUUAGAUUUAAACAUUUGCUCUGGAGAGUCAGUGAAUAGGCAUUAUUAUAAAUCGAGGUUUCGGUAGACGAGAAUAAAAAAAAAAACAAAAAAAAAACAACACCACCAUCGUGUCGUCAUAGCUGAUUUAUACAAGGUACCAACUGGGCGAGAACAUUAUCGAUUUCUAAAAGGUACUAACGAGGGCGACAUCACUACCAAUUGAUACAAGGUACCAACUGGGGCGACAUCAUUAUCGAUUGAUACAAGGUACCAACUGGGGCGACAUCAUUACUGAUUGAUACAAGGUACCAACUGGGGCGACAUCAUUACCGAUUGAUACAAGGUACCAACUGGGGCGACAUCAUUACCGAUUGAUACAAGGUACUAACUGGGGCGAUAUCAUUACCGAUUGAUACAAGGUACCAACUGGGCGACAUCAUCACCGAUUGAUACAAGGUACCAACUGGGCGACAUCAUUACCGAUUGAUACAAGGUACCAACUGGGCGACAUCAUUAUCGAUUGAUACAAGGUACCAACUGGGGCGACAUCAUUACUGAUUUAUACAAGGUACCAACUGGGGCGACAUCAUUACUGAUUGAUACAAGGUACCAACUGGGGUGACAUCAUUACCGAUUGAUACAAGGGUACCAACUGGGCGACAUCAUUACCGAUUGA